rnacentral:rRNA from 1 species
UACGAAGGGGCUAGCGUUGCUCGGAAUCACUGGGCGUAAAGCGCACGUAGGCGGACUCUUAAGUCGGUGGUGAAAUCCUGGAGCUCAACUCCAGAACUGCCUUCGAUACUGAGAGUCUUGAGUCCGGGAGAGGUGAGUGGAACUGCGAGUGUAGAGGUGAAAUUCGUAGAUAUUCGCAAGAACACCGGUGGCGAAGGCGGCUUCCUGGACCGACACUGACGCUGAGGCGCGAAGCUAGGGAGCAAACGGG